rnacentral:rRNA from 1 species
AGGACGAACGCUGGCGGCAUGCUUAACACAUGCAAGUGGAGCGACGAACCGGGGCUUGCCCCGGGGCAGAGCCGCGAACGGGUGAGUAACACGUGGGUAACCCACCCCGAUGAUUGGGACAACCCCGGGAAACCGGGGCUAAUACCAAAUGUGCCCUUGGUCCAUGAGGACCUCGAGUAAAGAUAGCUUCGGCCUUCGCAUCGGGACGGGCCCGCGGCCCAUUAGCUUGUUGGUGAGGUAACGGCUCACCAAGGCGACGAUGGGUAGCUGGUCUGAGAGGACGAUCAGCCACACUGGGACUGAGACACGGCCCAGACUCCUACGGGAGGCAGCAGUGGGGAAUCUUGCGCAAUGCGCGAAAGCGUGACGCAGCAACGCCGCGUGGGGAAGACGGCCUUCGGGUGUAACCCUUCAGUUGGACGAAGCUUCAGCGGUGAAUAGCCGUAGUGGUAGGUACGACGGUACCUUACACGAAGAACGCCCCGGACUAACCGUACGUCGACCGUAGACACGGCCGACCGGUAAU